rnacentral:rRNA from 1 species
CCUACGGGUGGCUGCAGUCGAGAAUCAUUCACAAUGGGGGAAACCCUGAUGGUGCGACGCCGCGUGGGGGAAUGAAGGUCUUCGGAUUGUAAACCCCUGUCAUGUGGGAGUAAACUAAAAAGAUAGUACCACAAGAGGAAGAGCCGGCUAACUCUGAGCCAGCAGCCGCGGUAAUACAGAGGUUUAAAGCGUUGUUCGGAAUCAUUGGGCGUAAAGUGUGCGUAGGAUGUUGCGUAAGUCGUGUGUGAAAGGCGCGGGCUCAACCCCCGGACGGCACAUGAUACUGUGCGACUAGAGUAAUGGAGGGGGAACCGGAAUUCUCGGUGUAGCAGUGAAAUGCGUAGAUAUCG